rnacentral:tRNA from 1 species
GGUUCUGUGGUGUAGUUGGUUAUCACGUAUCCUUAACAGGUGUCUGUCUGAUUCGGAUAAGGUCCCCGGUUCGAUCCCGUGCAGAAUCA